AUGACUCUUCAGGACUGGAGAGGCCACUGCUGACUGAAGUGACCUCAGUUUUCCCAGUGGAGAAAAGUGACAAACGAGAGCUGAACAGACAGCGUGAUGGUCUUGUUUCCCAGACGACAGAGACAGGAAAUGACCUCGUUCUUGAUGGCUGCUGCUAAUUUAUGGCGAAACACUAGGUCCCUGGCCAAUACCACAUGGACAUCCAAUCAAUUUACCCAGGGGCAAGUCCACUCAAGGGCAUCAUUUAGAAGAGAGAAGCGUUCGGGUUACUUGUCUUUGGAGUAUAUGUUUAAGAAAGUCUCGCGGUACACUUGUGGGAGAUUUGGAAAGCCGAAGGAUUCUGUGCAAAGUGCUGCUGUGAGGUGCCGAGCUCGUCAGGAGGUAUCCCCAUGUCCUAUUACCAGCCUCCCUUGUCAAGUUAAGGGCCUAGGCAGCCAUUUUGGGUCAGUACAGAUCUAACAGGAACAGAAUGGAUCUAGUCGUUGCAGUGGCUGUGGCUUCCUGAUUCUGGAUUGUACUAUGACAGCGUGGCCUCCAAUGGAGAGUUCUCUGGUGACUUUCUCAUCUUCUGCCUCUCUCCCUGAGACAGAGAAAGCAGCUUCUUUGGCAUCCUAUUCUGUGGUGCUACUUGGGAUCUUUCUUGGAAUGCUGGCCUAAAACUUGCUCCUCCAAUGGCCAACAAUUCUAGAAGCACUCACCCUACUGUGUUAAAUCCCUUCUGCUACAAAUAACUAGAGUUGUUUCUGGGUUCCUGACAGGGGGACUAAAACUGUGUCUGUAACGUUUUAUUUCCUUGAAAAAACAAAACAAAACAAAAAACCAAAAAAACUCUGAAGGAUGUGUGGCUCUUUGUUAACAUUUAAAAAAAAAAAAUCUAGGGAGUGGGAACAUGGAUGUUUGUUAUUUGUUGUAGGUUUGAGAUGGUUUUCUAUUCUAAAUUUUAAAAACUGCUUUGAUUUCAAAAUUGUUGUGUAUCUGCCCAGUUUUUAUAGAUUAUUGCAUACACUUACAUUUUUACCCAAAAGAGUAAUAAAAAAUUUUGAAAGUCUUAUGCAACGGGACUUAAAAUAAAAUUACACAGAAUCUCAAGUGUACUAUAUUUCUGAAGUGUGAAUGUUUGAGGAAAUUAUUUUUAUUUUAGAUUUUUACUAAUACAUAGAAAAAAAAUCCUUAUAAAAUAUGCCCUCAUCUAAUGGGGACCCAGGUCCACAUCUUUUUUGCAUUAAAUUCCUUUAUACUGAAAGUUACUUGGUUGUAAUAGAAGCAAUUGCUCAUUAGAUUAAAAAAAAAUGUUAAAGCUUUGGUAAUGUUAAGAGACCUCCCUGGAAAAACAAUAUCAUGGAUAUUAAUGACAGAGUAAAGUUUCUAUGUCAAGGUUUACUUUCAAAUUUAUCACUGAGGACUAGUUUCUUUAUCCAAACUUAUUUUUCAUUAUCCUAAAAUGAUAAAAUAAAUCCAAGGAGACCACAGCAGGCUUAAAUGGAUGUUACAAAAGCAAUUCCUCUGUACUAACUUCUCAAUUCUUCUGUAAAUCUAAAAAUAUUUUGAAAUAAAUGUUUAUUUAAAAACUUACUAUUGCCUCCCCUAUCCAAUGCCAGUGGACAUGUUUCAUAAGGAUGCUUAAGUUGUGUUUGUUUUCUUGGACUUGUGGAUAUUUCUUAUGCAAGAGUACUUUUCUGGUUGUAAAAUCACAUUGUCUUGAUUUCGUUAUUUAAACUCUGUGCCAUUUUUUUAAAAGUUUAUUUAUAUUUCAGUAAACUCUACACCCAACUUGGGGCUUGAAGUCACAACCCUAAAAUCAAGAGUCACAUGAUUCUCCGAUGGAACCAGCCAGGUACCCCAAAUUCUGCAUAAUUUUAUUCUUAAAAAAUAAGAGCUCUGUCAAGAAAGAAAAUCUGAGAAUGUUUGGGCUUUUUAGGAGAGGGGAAAGCAGGCAUGUGCCUUAUCUGCCAUUGUAAAUAGAAUGGGCUUUUCUUCUUUUAAUAAACUUUCUGAGCUAAUUACCCACUUCCGCAUUUCUGAAAAAUCUGCUUUAAAAGGAUCUUUGUAUCUCUCUUUGUAUCUCAUUCUAGUCUCUCAAAACAGAAUAUAAUUUUACUUUGAGUGGUAUAUAAAAAUUCUGCUUGAGCAGGAACAAACCUUUCAUCUACUCUUCAAUUUUUUUCUUAAGUUAAUAAGUUCCAUUUCUAGGAGUUCUUCCUCUGUAUUUUAGAUCCGUAAAUUAAGAGAAGAGGAAAAUGUGAAGAAAAGUCAAAGGAGAACAAUGAGGGGGAGACAUGACUGAAGGUUAGACAGCUGGUCUGGUCAAGCAAAACCAGAAAUGGUUUUCUGAAAGAAGUAUCGGAAAGACCUAAUAAUGGCGCUCCGUAUGUGUGGGUGCUUGUAUUACAAAAGAAAACAACGGGCUUUUUAAAACUGCUACUGAGAGUUAACGGAAUUUAAAAUUUCAAAGUAAGACAUGGAUUUAAACAGGCGUGGAAACUAGGGAUAUAAGCAAGAAUUUCCUAAUGGCGGAAGUCAGUCCCAGUAAAAAUAAAAAUCUAUUUCUGAGCUAAAAGACCACGUGACUUGAGAGUAAAAGGAGGGGGGAGUGUCACUUGGCAUCUUAAGGGCCUUUCCUUCAAGAGAAUUUUGACAAGUCACCAGUGGCUUGAAUGUGUCUGGUGGAGAGAUUCCUGACCACCAGCCGCCAUUUCCUCCUGACUCAAAGAGUCUGUUCUUCUGUGGACCUCUGUCACUAGCCUGGGUGGCACAACAACAGAGAGUUUUGAUACAUCUUGGUCCCAUUGGUAUCGUUCUAAAUCAUCACUAAAAAAUGUCUGAAAGUUGGCCCUGUCAUAGUGAUACC